GUGCUGGGGGCCAGAGCAGUGAUCUCCUUCUGCAUACGGUCAGCAAUACCAGGGUACAUGGUGGAGAUGAAGAGCUUCGUGU